GUUGAAUUCUAUAGCUAUGCUUUUCAAACUGUAGUGUUGAUACGGAUCACUUGGGGAUCUUGUUAAAAUGCAGAUUCCGAUUCAGCAAGUGUGUGAUAGGGCCUGAGGUUUGGCAUUUCUGACCAGCUCUCGGGGGACGCUGAAGCUGAUGGUCCCAGACUCACACCCUGAGUGCACAGACUCUGGAGUCUGCCUCCUGCGGAAGCACAGACGGGCUUUGUGCAUAGACAUGGUGACUGGCGCCUGUUUUUGUGGAAGACACUGGGAGUGGUUCUUUGCCCUUCAAAAUAAUUCUGGAGCCUCACUGGCCAAUAAUUCUGGUGUAGAAUCAUUCUUUUGACUUCAAGGUUUUGUUCCUUAUUUAAAUAUAAACACCCAGUGGUACUCUUGAGCUAAGUACUGGCUCAUUCACAUUUUCAGGAAGUUUGCAAGCCAGUUGAUGUCACGUUGGGAGCUUGAUAGCAGCCAUGGUGGGAGGGUCAUUCCACAGAAAUCACCAAACACUGCAAAUCAGGCAUUUCUCUCCCAGCUCCACCUUCCGGCCAGUUGCUAAACAUUUACCAGGCCACCACUGCUCAGCUCUUGGAGAACAAUACAUUAAGCUAUAUCAGUCCUUGUCACUGUAAUUGGGAAAGGCUCUAUUCCUCCCCUUCCUGAGAAGAAGUUUCGAUGAGGGAAGGUGGGUAGAGCUGGGAGCACAUGAGGUGACUGAGGGGAAAGAGAUGUGCCAGCUGCAGUCUCUUGGAGCUGUGUGUGCACUGGUCUCCUUGUCCUGAGUCUGAGGGUCUUGGUGGCCUGGCAGAGAAAGGGCUGCUUCCUCACCUUUUAGUCUGGUUCCUAGGCUUGGAGAGCAGUCGGUAAAACCGGCUUAUAUAUCAAAUACCAUGGCUACCAGGUUGGUGCAUAGGGCCAUCCUGUCCUCUUUUGAACUCAUAUACUUGGGGCGUCACUCAUCUGACUUCUAGAAGUUUCCUGGCAGAUUUAGUUUUGAAAGGUCACUUUUUUUUCCUGAUUGUAAUAGUAAUAAUAAUAUAAUGACUCAUGUUUAUUGAAAGCUUAUUCUUUGCCAGACACAGUCCUAGUAUUUUAUAUAUACUGACACAUUUAAUCUCACAACAACCCUUAUGAAUUAGGGGCUAUUGAUAUUUUCAUUUUACAAAGAAGGAAAUUAAGACAAAGGUGAUUUCAAACUGGCUUAAAUCACACAACUAUUGAGUAAUGUACAUUUACAGAAAAUUUG
rnacentral:lncRNA from 10 species